UUUGACUCAACACGGGAAAAAUUACCCGGCCCGGGCACAGGAAGGAUUGACAGAUUAAGGGUUCUUUCUUGAUUCUGUGGAUGGUGGUGCAUGGCCGUUUUUAGUUGGUGGAGCGAUUUGUCUGGUUAAUUCCGAUAACGAACGAGACUCUAGCCUACUAAAUAGACGCUCCGAUCCUUCGAGUCGGACGAAAUGGGUCUUGCUUUUCGCCGUCGACGGAGCAGCUGGUCCACUGGGUUAGGUGUUUUCAGCCUGUUGGAUCCCGUCGAUGGAAUUUAAAGUAUAUAUAUAUAAAGAGCUUAGUAGUGUGUCCUCCUGCAAUUGACCACGCUAAACGAGGAGCAUUGAAAUAAGGACCAGAACAUGGAAAAAAGGUGCAUGAUGGGGG
rnacentral:ncRNA from 1 species